UCGCAAAUCAGUUCAUUUUGGUUUAAAUUAAUUUGCAAAUUGCAACACUUUUCAAAUCUAGCUUUUUAAGAUAAUAGCAAUUGUAAUAGUUCGAAGCGGUAAGUGUUUCUUUCGUUCCUGUGUUAGUACCAGCCGCGGUCAAAACACCUUUGGAAAGAACUGACAAGACAAGCAACCAUCCCAUGCUGGUGGAUAGAGUCAAAGUCAACGGAAACGGUGAUGUGGGUGGCAGUUUUGGGUUGAAUGACAGAGCAGGCAAAAUUCAACGAACAAAGUGCACUCCGCGGGACCCUGUAUACACCAAGGAAGGCGAUACCAGUGCCGCCAUGGGCAGAAUUAUUAAAUAAAGGAAUGUCAACGGAAGGAUGUCGUCAAAUAAUGUGGAUUGCAAUUACAAGAAGAAACGAGAUCAGAUAAAGGGAUGGCGAGCUACAGUAAGACUCUGGGACUAAUGCGUUUCUUCUAGGAGCGACUGCAGUAUCUGACAAAAAUGUUUAAUGACUUUUUAUUCCGGAACAAAUGAUUCGCCGAUAAAUGGAACUAAUAAAAAUCGUACCCCAAACGCAACAGAUGCUUAAUUCAAGACAAGAACAAUUGAAUGCCUGAAUCCACUAUUAUUCAAGAUUAAUCUCCUCCUAUGAAGUAAUAAAUUUAAGUUGGAAAUAAAG